rnacentral:misc_RNA from 1 species
UUGAGGGCGGGGUUCGGCUCACCUCUUUUUUCAUGUGGACGUCUUUAUUACAAACCAAGUUCUGAUGGAAUCUUCGGCGGUGGAAAACCAGGGAACGAUGAGUUCGGAACCCAUACACCCGUAUUAUCCACGAGAUCUAAGACUUCCGCAUUACGUGCCGAAUGAAAAGAGCGCCGCCGAACUGGUCGGAGUGUUUUUCGGCGUGAUCGGAGGUUUUAUGGUUGCAACAUGGGUCCUGGCCAGCUCUGCAAGAACAGUAAAAUUUUCGAUCCCGCAACGAAUUAUUCUUUGCUGGUUCGUCAUGUCGGGCAUUAUUCACUCGGUACUUGAAGGUUAUUUCGGUAUUUACCACCAGACAUUGGCAGGGAGAAUGACAUUUCUUGGACAAGUGUGGAAGGAGUACAGUAAGGGAGAUAGUCGAUAUUUGAGUUCUUUUUAUAGAAUUCCUGCAAUAAUUAGAAAUCAGGGUCAAGCAUGUGAAACGCUGUCCAGCCAACGACGACUGAAAUGGCUGUCAAGGCUAAAUCAAGAUUUUACCGGGAAAAACCUCGGGAAUGUCAGAGUGUGUUCAGAUCAUUUUAUUAUGGGCAAACCAGUUGACUUGUAUGACGAGACCAACCCUGAUUGGGCUCCCAGUCUGAAGAUGGGCCAUGAAAAACUUGGGUUUUUUAAAACUUCAAAAGACCGCUAUGAACGCAUUUCCAAGCGAAAAGUCACCAUCAAAGCAAAGGCGACAGAGAUGUUCCCAGAAGAAGAAUUAUGUCCAAAUGAAGCCCCUGAUGACAGUACUAACACAGAUUGUAAUGUGGAAACGCAGACAGAUUUGAAUGGGUUUUUAAUAGAUGCAAUGAGUUCUGAAUUGCAAGCACUAAGACUUGAAAUGAUGGAUAUUAAAAAGCAUGUUGCCAUUUCCAAAUUAUGUUUGUCCGAUUUGAUAGGGAAAGAUGAUAAGGUGAAAUUUCUGACCGGUUUGUCAUCUUAUGAUGUGCUUGCAAUGUUAUACGAGUAUCUGAAAGAUUUUAUUCCUACCAAAAAAAAUCGCUAACCAAAUUCCAGAUGCUGUUUAUGACACUUAUGCGGCUGAGACUGAAUUUGUCAGAACAGUUCCUUGCAUUUGAAUUUGCUGUUUCACAAUCUACAAUAUGCCGAAUGUUUUCUGAAGUUGUAGAUGUUUUGUAUGCUAGAACUAAACCAUUUGUACAUUGGCCUGAACGUGAGGAAUUGUAUAAAACCAUGCCUAUGGAAUUUAGGAAAUAUUUUGGGGGAAAAGUAGCUGUGAUCAUCGAUUGUUUUGAAAUCUUUAUAGAAAGACCCUCAAAUCUUACGGCUAGGGCACAAACAUGGUUAUCCUACAAACAUCACAAUACUGCAAAAUUCUUAAUGGGCAUAACACCACAGGGCACAGUCUCAUUCAUUUCCAAGGGUUGGGGUGGACGGGCCACAGACAAAUACAGCACUGAACACUCAGGUUUUCUAAAUUACAUUCUUCCAGGUGAUACAGUCUUAGCUGAUAGGGGGUUUGAUAUCAAAGAUAUAAUGGGUAGUCUCUGUGCUGAAGCUAAAAUACCUGCAUUCACUAGGGGAAAAGACCAGUUAUCACCCCUUAAGAUAGAAUCAACAAGGAAAAUUGCUCACUGUCGAAUUCAUGUUGAGCGGGUAAUAGGAUGUGUUCGUCAAAAAUAUACUAUGCUUGACAGCACAAUUCCUAUAAGAUUUAUGAUGUCAAAAGACAGUGAGAGCAUGACCAUUCUGGACAAGAUAUGCCUGUAUGUUGUUCUUUGACAAACCUCUGUGAACCAAUAGUCUGUUUUGAUUAAAUUUAGCAUUGACAACUGACCCCAUAUGACAUGUUUUUUAAAAACUAUUACAAGUAAAAUUAUACCAAACACUCACUAUGAUGUUGUGUUGAUUAAUUUACUAAAGGUGUAACGAUAUGGCAGUACAGUAGUAUAUCACAAUACGAGGUCCACGAUAUGGCAGUACAGUAGUAUAUCACAAUACGAGGUCCACGAUAUGGCAGUACAGUAGUAUAUCACAAUACGAGGUCCACUAUAAUGAUACAUCAAUUUAUGGCAGCAAUAUCAUGAUACAUACAUAAUUCCUGUUUUGCAGGAAACCAAUUUUGAUCUAUAUGUACAACAUGCGAACAAUCAGAAACAUAACACAUUGGAUUUGCUAAAAUUGCUAACUUAACUAGAUGCUGGAAUUGAUAUACAGUGUAAUUGUAAAAAGUUGUCAUUGCCAGAAAUAUUUUACAAUACCUAAUAAUUAGCAUCAGUGUUAUUAAGUAUUGGCAUAGUACGUACCACAACCUACCUGUAUUGUUAUACCUCUCUAAUGUACUAUAAAAUAAUUUUCUAAAAUAUUCCAUUUAUUUGUUUAUUAAUGAUAUGUACAUUUAUACGGGCAAUUUAUGUUAUUUGAGUGUAAAAUAUGGGAAAAUAUAUUUCACCAUUGACAUUUUUAUUAAAUACAAAAUAUUAAUAUUAUUGAUAUGUGUGUAGUCUGAAAAAAAAAAAAAGACGUUAAUUUGAAAGCAAACCUAUUUUAAUCCUGUAGAAAUCAGGAUACCUACAUUUAGGUUUGAAUAAAUAAUAUAUUCAUGACAUAAAAUUAAGCAUAGUUAUAGCUGAAAUCUUGAGUAUGUUGAAAAUAUAUACACAUAUUGCUUACAAAGUUGCAUUUUUGGUCUGUCUACAGGCAAUAUGUUUUUCAAUUUGCAGUUCAUGUUUGUAUGUAAAUACAUGUACUGGAACCACCCAU